rnacentral:rRNA from 1 species
AGAUUGAACGCUGGCGGCAGGCCUAACACAUGCAAGUCGAGCGGUAGAGAGGUGCUUGCAUCUCUUGAGAGCGGCGGACGGGUGAGUAAUGCCUAGGAAUCUGCCCAGUGGUGGGGGAUAACGUUCGGAAACGGACGCUAAUACCGCAUACGUCCUACGGGAGAAAGCGGGGGACCUUCGGGCCUCGCGCCAUUAGAUGAGCCUAGGUCGGAUUAGCUAGUUGGUGAGGUAAUGGCUCACCAAGGCGACGAUCCGUAACUGGUCUGAGAGGAUGAUCAGUCACACUGGAACUGAGACACGGUCCAGACUCUACGGGAGCAGCAGUGGGGAAUUAUUGGACAAGUGGG